GGAGGUCAGACUAGAUAAUUACAAUGUUUUCUUCUGGCCUUAGAAUCUGUGAAUCUAUAGCAGGGUUGAGAGAACCUCAAAUGGCUAUUAAAAAUCGAAUCCAAUGCUGAUAGAAAGUCUCCCAUUGAGUUCAGCGGACAUGGAUUAUGGCCCUAAGUUCAAAUGCUCAGACACUGUGAUGAUAGGUGGGAGGUAGAAUACCCAAAACUGCCUUUUGCGUCACCUAAUGGCCAUGAGCAGGAGCGGGUUUUCAAGGUGGAGCAGUGCUAAACCUAGAUACCUAUUCUAAUGAAAUCUUGUUUGAUAAAAUAUGUGUUGAUGGAUUUUUCCUGAAGUUGUUUACAUGUUUUCUUGGUUUAAUGGUGUUUUACUGAGAUGAAAAUAGUGUGAUUAGUUUGACAUUUACGGUGUGACAACAGCCAUUGCUGUCUCUUCUACCACUUCACUGCUAAAAAACAGACAAAAAUCAUCCAGGGCUUGCUUUGUUAUGCCUUGUGUUUCGACCAUUUUCUAUUCACUGGUUUCAUGUAGUAGUGAGUUUGUAGAGAAAUUCAGUGAAAGUACAAAAGUUUUUAACCAUCAAAGAUGUUUUAUUCUUGUUCUAAUGAAGUCUUGUUAUUGUUGGUUUUAAAUAUGGAUAGACUAACAUUGCUCUUCUAGAGGGAAAUAAUACUGCUUUCAAUAUCUGGUGAGUCAGAAGAUGGAAGAUCUAGUUCCUUAUAACUUGUAAAGAGAUAGAGUGGCUUGAAUGACACCUCCUUGCCAGAACCAACAAGUAGUCCCAAACCACUACCCAAUUUAUUU